AGUGAACGCUGGCGGUAGGCCUAACACAUGCAAGUCGAGCGGCAGCACAGUAAGAGCUUGCUCUUACGGGUGGCGAGUGGCGGACGGGUGAGGAAUACAUCGGAAUCUACUUUUUCGUGGGGGAUAACGUAGGGAAACUUACGCUAAUACCGCAUACGACCUACGGGUGAAAGCAGGGGAUCUUCGGACCUUGCGCGAUUGAAUGAGCCGAUGUCGGAUUAGCUAGUUGGCGGGGUAAAGGCCCACCAAGGCGACGAUCCGUAGCUGGUCUGAGAGGAUGAUCAGCCACACUGGAACUGAGACACGGUCCAGACUCCUACGGGAGGCAGCAGUGGGGAAUAUUGGACAAUGGGCGCAAGCCUGAUCCAGCCAUACCGCGUGGGUGAAGAAGGCCUUCGGGUUGUAAAGCCCUUUUGUUGGGAAAGAAAAGCAGCAGGUUAAUACCCCGCUGUCCUGACGGUACCCAAAGAAUAAGCACCGGCUAACUUCGUG
rnacentral:rRNA from 1 species